GUAGCACCAACUCUCUGGGAUCUGCCAGUCAGAAAUUUAGUGUCCACAGUGCUGAGUAUCAUGAAGUCCUUCCCUGGGCUGUUGCUGGUGUAUCUCUGACUGGGAAUGUCUUCUGCAUUAUCUACAUGAUGUUGCUUUGCAAAGCAAGAAAGAAUGUGAAGCCAAAAGAAGAGGACAGAACUUACAUGUCAUUGGAUAGAAGAGACAUGUCUCCAGAGUAUGAUGUUAUCGGACAAACUCCACGCCGAUGAUGGCUUCUGGCUGAAACACAUUAGUUUCUCUCGUUUCUGUCCACAAUAAAAAACAAUAAGUAGAUGGAUCAGUGAGUGCCAGUGUUUUGUUUUGUUUCAUCACUACUGUGCACCUGAUACUCUACUCAAGAUUUGGAGCUGUGAGCUGUGCGCCGCUUUGAAAUAGGCCAAACUUCAAAAUGACUGUUCCGAUUUCUCUUUGUCAUUCUCUAUUUAUACUACAUCCAAAAAUACUAUUUAAAAUUUCCACUUGUUUAGAUCAGCUUUUCAUGAUGAUUAUUCGCAACAUGGUGUGAGUAAAAUGACAUGAACAAGUACACAAUGCAAAGCAAAACAGCACUGCAAUAGAUACUUCAAUUCAGGAGGUUUCAGUGAAAUUACUGUUGAAACUGAAUUGUAGAAGUUUACUGUAUGGUCAUCUUUAGUCACAAGUGUAUGUCUCCACAUUAUUGUGUAGUGCAGGUCUGUGCUAUCGUUAAGUUUGUAUUAAUACCUGCCUUAAAUGUUCUUAUGGAUGCUCUUCAAUCAUGUUCAUGUGUUUUCAUUAAUUGUUGUUGUUGUAUUUCCAAACUUUUAAAGAUGAAUGUGAUGUUUAUGUAGUUGUUGCAUUUUUAUGUCUAGCAAAUUAGAAAACUGUGGUGUGACCUCUAUUUCUAUUAUUCUGUGAUUCUGCUGUUAAUUAUCUAGGGUAAAUUGGUUGAGCAUUUGACAAUGUUACUGUG